AAGGCAUGAUGAAGGAAUUUCCUAAGUAUAUCCAUAAAUCUCCCACAAAUUUCAUAUAUUAAGUAUCCUUUAAACCGAGCAAAAGAAGUGAUAUCAUUUCUAAGUUU